rnacentral:rRNA from 1 species
UACGGAGGGGGCUAGCGUUGUUCGGAAUUACUGGGCGUAAAGCGCGCGUAGGCGGCUUUGUAAGUUAGAGGUGAAAGCCCGGAGCUCAACUCCGGAACUGCCUUUAAGACUGCAUCGCUAGAAUUGUGGAGAGGUGAGUGGAAUUCCGAGUGUAGAGGUGAAAUUCGUAGAUAUUCGGAAGAACACCAGUGGCGAAGGCGACUCACUGGACACAUAUUGACGCUGAGGUGCGAAAGCAUGGGGAGCAAACAGG